rnacentral:rRNA from 1 species
GACCGAUAGUGAACCAGUACCGUGAGGGAAAGGUGAAAAGAACCCCGGGAGGGGAGUGAAAUAGAACCUGAAACCUGAUGCAUACAAACAGUGGGAGCGGAAUAAUUCCGUGACUGCGUACCUUUUGUAUAAUGGGUCAACGACUUACAUUCAGUAGCGAGCUUAACCGGAUAGGGGAGGCGUAGGGAAACCGAGUCUUAAUAGGGCGACAUAGUUGCUGGGUGUAGACCCGAAACCGAGUGAUCUAUCCAUGGCCAGGUUGAAGGUGCCGUAACAGGUACUGGAGGACCGAACCCACGCAUGUUGCAAAAUGCGGGGAUGAGCUGUGGAUAGGGGUGAAAGGCUAAACAAACUCGGAGAUAGCUGGUUCUCCCCGAAAACUAUUUAGGUAGUGCCUCGAGCAAGACACUGAUGGGGGUAAAGCACUGUUAUGGCUAGGGGGUUAUUGCAACUUACCAACCCAUGGCAAACUAAGAAUACCAUCAAGUGGUUCCUCGGGAGACAGACAGCGGGUGCUAACGUCCGUUGUCAAGAGGGAAACAACCCAGACCGCCAGCUAAGGUCCCAAAUGACAGAUUAAGUGGUAAACGAAGUGGGAAGGCACAGACAGCCAGGAUGUUGGCUUAGAAGCAGCCAUCAUUUAAAGAAAGCGUAAUAGCUCACUGGUCGAGUCGUCCUGCGCGGAAGAUGUAACGGGGCUCAAAUCUAUAACCGAAGCUGCGGAUGCACCUAGUGCAUGGUAGGGGAGCGUUCUGUAGGCCUGAGAAGGUGUAUCGUAAGGUAUGCUGGAGGUAUCAGAAGUGCGAAUGUUGACAUGAGUAGCGAUAAAGCGGGUGAAAAGCCCGCUCGCCGAAAGCCCAAGGUUUCCUACGCAACGUUCAUCGGCGUAGGGUGAGUCGGCCCCUAAGGCGAGGCAGAGAUGCGUAGUCGAUGGGAAACGGGUUAAUAUUCCCGUACUUGAUUCAAAUGCGAUGUGGGGACGGAGAAGGUUAUGCUGGCAAUCUGUUGGAAUAGAUUGUUUAAGCCGGUAGGUAGAAGGAGUAGGCAAAUCCGCUUCUUUAAUACCGAGACGUGAUGACGAGUGUCUACGGACAUGAAGCAGCAAAUACCACGCUUCCAGGAAAAGCCACUAAGCUUCAGUUUGAAUUGAACCGUACCGCAAACCGACACAGGUGGGCAGGAUGAGAAUUCUAAGGCGCUUGAGAGAACUCGGGAGAAGGAACUCGGCAAAUUGAUACCGUAACUUCGGGAGAAGGUAUGCCCUCUAAUGUGAAAGACUUGCUCUGUAAGCAUAGGAGGGUCGCAGAGAAUCGGUGGCUGCGACUGUUUAUUAAAAACACAGCACUCUGCUAACACGAAAGUGGACGUAUAGGGUGUGACGCCUGCCCGGUGCUGGAAGGUUAAUUGAAGAUGUGAGAGCAUCGGAUCGAAGCCCCAGUAAACGGCGGCCGUAACUAUAACGGUCCUAAGGUAGCGAAAUUCCUUGUCGGGUAAGUUCCGACCCGCACGAAUGGCGUAACGAUGGCCACACUGUCUCCUCCCGAGACUCAGCGAAGUUG